UACGUAGGGUCCGAGCGUUGUUCGGAUUUACUGGGCGUAAAGCGCACGUAGGCGGAUCGUUAAGUCGGGGGUGAAAUCCUGGAGCUCAACUCCAGAACUGCCUUCGAUACUGGCGAUCUUGAGUCCGGAAGAGGUGAGUGGAACUCCUAGUGUAGAGGUGGAAUUCGUAGAUAUUAGGAAGAACACCAGUGGCGAAGGCGGCUCACUGGUCCGGUACUGACGCUGAGGUGCGAAAGCGUGGGGAGCAAACGGG
rnacentral:rRNA from 1 species